rnacentral:tRNA from 1 species
GCGGGUAUGAUGGAAUUGGUAGACAUGCGAGAUUUAGGUUCUCGUGCCGUCAGGCGUUGGGGUUCGACUCCCCAUACCCGCACCA